rnacentral:lncRNA from 1 species
GGGAGAUCUGGGAUUUGGGAGGCAGCCACAUGGGUUAGAACAAUGAAUCAGAAUUUGAACUGGGCAAGGAAAGCGUAUCCAUGGUGGGAGGUCCUGCAUGGGUAUCAGAGCCUGAGGAGGGUGAGGGACAUUGUGGAGGCAGCCCCACAUGGGGUGUCAUAACCCAAGCAUGGUGAGAGGCCACCUAUGUGGAAGGAGCACAUGGUGGGUUAGAGCAGAGGGAAGGAAGCAGACAUGACCAGGGAUAGUCCAACAUGGUAUAUUCUAUGACUCAUGGUAUAUUCCAAUGUGUACACUAAGUGCCUCAAUCUUGAUUUCUAAAAACUAUGCUAAAAUAAACUAGGAUUCCUGGGAGAAAUGGCUUAUUCCAGGGCUAAGCAGGAAAAACACAGGUGAUUCUGGAAAUUUUUGUUCCAGAAAAGAAAGAUGUUUCCAAGGGUGAGAUAGGUGUCCAAAUAGGGGAAGCCCAGCAAUAGAUGUCAGUGCCUGAGCUGCGAGAGCAGAGGCCACGCCGGAGGCAGCUCAGUGUAGAGUUAGGGCCUGAACUGGGUGGAAAGGGUGUCCAUGUGAGGGUGGCCCCAUGUGGGGAGUCAGAGCCUGAGUGGAGUAAGGAGGGCAUCCACUGUACAGGAAACCCACCCAAAGAAGAGUUCAGAGCCCGAGCAAGCUAAGGCGGGUGUCCUGGUGGAGGAAUGACCUAGAGUGGAGGCUCAGAAGGUAGGUAUAGUAAAGGGUGACCACAUCAGGGAGUGAAUGACCAUGAACAUGGGACGUUAGAUACACUGAAUGAAUUGCCAGGUAUGGUUUUACACACCUGUAAACCCAGCUACUCAAGAGGCUAAAGCUGGAGCAUCACAUGUUUGAGACCAGCCUUGACAACUUGGCAAGUCUCAAAGAAAAAACAAAACAAAACAAAACUACAAACAAAAAACCAACUGAAGAUGCAGCUCAGUGAUAG